rnacentral:rRNA from 1 species
AACGAACGCUGGCGGCAUGCCUAACACACGCAAGUCGAACGAGAUCUUCGGGUCUAGUGGCGCACGGGUGCGUAACGCGUGGGAAUCUGCCCUUUGGUUCGGAAUAACAGUUGGAAACGACUGCUAAUACCGGAUGAUGACGAAAGUCCAAAGAUUUAUCGCCAGAGGAUGAGCCCGCGUGGGAUUAGCGAGUUGGUGUGGUAAAGGCGCACCAAGGCGACGAUCCGUAGCUGGUCUAAGAGGAUGAUCAGCCACCCUGGGACUGCGACACGGCCCAGACUCCUCCGGGAGGCAGCAGUGGGGAAUAUUGGACAAUGGGCGAAAGCCUGAUCCAGCAAUGCCGCGUGAGUGAUGAAGGCCUUAGGGUUGUAAAGCUCUUUUACCCGGGAUGAUAAUGACAGUACCGGGAGAAUAAGCUCCGGCUAACUCCGUGCCAGCCGCCGCGGUAA